rnacentral:rRNA from 1 species
GAUGAACGCUAGCUACAGGCUUAACACAUGCAAGUCGAGGGGAAACGACAUCGAAAGCUUGCUUUUGAUGGGCGUCGACCGGCGCACGGGUGAGUAACGCGUAUCCAACCUGCCCAUCACUUGGGAAUAACCUUGCGAAAGUAAGACUAAUACUCAAUGACAUCCCCUGAAGACAUCUGAAUGGGAUUAAAGAUUUAUCGGUGAUGGAUGGGGAUGCGUCUGAUUAGCUUGUUGGCGGGGUAACGGCCCACCAAGGCAACGAUCAGUAGGGGUUCUGAGAGGAAGGUCCCCCACAUGGGAACUGAGACCCGGUCCAAACUCCUACGGGAGGCAGCAGUGAGGAAUAUUGGUCAAUGGGCGAGAGCCUUAACCAGCCAAGUAGCGUGCAGGAUGACGGCCCUAUGGGUUGUAAACUGCUUUUAUAAGGGAAUAAAGUGGGUCUCGGGAGACUUUUUGCAUGUACCUUAUGAAUAAGGACCGGCUAAUUCCGUG